rnacentral:rRNA from 1 species
CUACGGGGGGCAGCAGUGGGGAAUAUUGCGCAAUGGGCGAAAGCCUGACGCAGCGACGCCGCGUGGGUGAUGAAGGUUUUCGGAUCGUAAAGCCCUGUCGGAGAGGGAAGAACAACUUAUGAGUUAAUACCUCAUAGGCCUGACGGUACCUCUUCAGAAAGCACCGGCUAACUCCGUGCCAGCAGCCGCGGUAAUACGGAGGGUGCUAACGUUGUUCGGAAUCACUGGGCGUAAAGCGCGUGUAGGCGGCACGGUAAGUCAGAUGUGAAAUCCCUCGGCUCAACCGAGGAAGUGCAUUUGAAACUGCCGAGCUAGAGUACGGGAGAGGGCUGUAGAAUUCCCGGUGUAGAGGUGAAAUUCGUAGAUAUCGGGAGGAAUACCGGUGGCGAAGGCGGCAGCCUGGACCGAUACUGACGCUGAGACGCGAAAGCGUGGGGAGCAAACAGGAUUAGAUACCCGAGUAGUC